rnacentral:lncRNA from 1 species
AGUAAAAUAGGAGAAACAUAUGAGUAAAUUUCAAAAGUGUUCUUUCAAAAAGGUCAAACUGCUAAGUUUCUUAAAGCCAAAAAUGAUUAUUUUCCUGGUACAGAUUUUAAUGUUUUGCAAAGCUCCUUACACCUUAUGACGUGCUCUGUAAAUAUUUUAUCUUACAUCCCCCGUUGGUUCAGGAGCCAAGAAGUUAUUUGAUCUAAUGGGCAUUGAUUUCUUGGACACAAAGGACUAUCUAGGUAUGUUCUAUUCUCU